UUGCUGUCAGGCAACUCCCAUCAGCAACACAUACAUUAAAAUUGGAAUGAUGUGGAGAAUAUUAGCAUGGCCCCUAUGCAAGGAUGACAUGCAUAUUCAUGAAGCACUCCAAUUCUAG
ensembl:snRNA Gm23337 U6 spliceosomal RNA